GCUUGUGUAGCUCAGUUGGUAGAGCAUAGGACUCUUAAUCCUGUAGUCGCGGGUUCGAGCCCCGUCAUGAGCU
rnacentral:tRNA from 1 species